UACGGGGGGGGCAAGCGUUGUUCGGAAUUACUGGGCGUAAAGGGCUCGUAGGCGGCCAACUAAGUCCGACGUGAAAUCCCCAGGCUCAACUUGGGAACUGCGUCGGAUACUGGAUGGCUUGAAUCCGGGAGAGGGAUGUGGAAUUCCAGGUGUAGCGGUGAAAUGCGUAGAUAUCUGGAGGAACACCGGUGGCGAAGGCGACAUCCUGGACCGGUAUUGACGCUGAGGCGCGAAAGCCAGGGGAGCAAACGGG
rnacentral:rRNA from 1 species